UUUCCCUCAGGAUAGCUGGCACUCGCUUGAGCGAGUCUCAUCUGGUAAAGCGAAUGAUUAGAGGCCUUGGGGCCGAAACGACCUCAACCUAUUCUCAAACUUUAAAUGGGUGAGAUCUCUGGCUUGCUUGAACGUUGAAGCCACGAGAUUAUUAUGGAUCAGAGUGCCAAGUGGGCCAAUUUUGGUAAGCAGAACUGGCGCUGUGGGA
rnacentral:rRNA from 1 species